UACGGAGGUUGCAAGCGUUACUCGGAAUCACUGGGCUUAAAGCGUGCGUAGGCGGUUCGUUAAGUCCGAUGUGAAAGCCCUGGGCUCAACCUGGGAAUGGCAUGGGAUACUGGCGGGCUAGAGUGCGGUAGAGGGUGGCGGAAUUCCCGGUGUAGCAGUGAAAUGCGUAGAUAUCGGGAGGAACAUCUGUGGCGAAGGCGGCCACCUGGACCAGAACUGGCACUGAGGCACGAAAGCGUGGGGAGCAAACAGG
rnacentral:rRNA from 1 species